AAGUGAGAUGAUGGUAUACCAUCUUUCGGGACUGACCUGAAAUGGAGAAAAAUGUGUAACUGCUGAUCACUU
ensembl:snoRNA